CGGGGUGAGUAAUGCUUGGGAAUCUAGCUUAUGGAGGGGGAUAACUACGGGAAACUGUAGCUAAUACCGCGUAGUAUCGGGAGAUGAAAGUGUGGGACCUUCGGGCCACAUGCCAUAGGAUGAGCCCAAGUGGGAUUAGGUAGUUGGUGAGGUAAAGGCUCACCAAGCCGACGAUCUCUAGCUGGUCUGAGAGGAUGACCAGCCACACUGGGACUGAGACACGGCCCAG
rnacentral:rRNA from 1 species